UGGCAAAUUUAGUUGAAUAAGUUUUUUGUAUGUUUAGGUACCAAGCUGCUGUUCUUCAUCACAACGAAAAUGUGAAAUGCGCACAGGCUAAGACGAAGUGGGGAGAGGAUAGAUAGGAAUUCCAUAAUUUUAGUUUGAACAAAGAAACUGAGCACCCGGAGGCGAAGGACCAUUCAAUCACAUGACCCAAGGAAUUUUUAAUUAAACUCAAAAUUUCAAAUGUUGUCGGAGCUAUGGUCGAAGCCACGAGGGCUAGUCGAUUCAUCGGUACAACUCAGGUACAACCCGGGUACAUACCCAGGUACAACUCCAAAACUUAACACACAACAGAUGAUUUGAUGGAAGCUUCCGAACCAAGACCAACUAGAUGAUAUCAAGGAAAAUUUGGAUUAUGCUAGCCUCUUUUUACCUGGAACUGAGAAAGACACGAUAUGGAAUGCAAUAUGCUGGAAGUAUUAGAUAAAAGAUCAAAAGAUGGAUUGGCGAUAAAACAAUAAACACUGAGCUUGAUGAGUGAACUUUAAAUAUGAAGUAGUUUUAUUUCAUAAGUUGCACCUGUUGUAACAAAGCCAGUUAAGUCAAUAUUCAAGUCUAUUUACCUGUCAUUUAAAGAUAUUUUAUGUGCCACACACCAAAUAUUAUAACUGACACAUCUUAUUUUUAACAAAA